CUUACGAAGAGUGGAUAUGCGGUCGGUUCCGUCCCCAGUCAUCCACACGCCAAUUCAUAAAACAAUACGGACGAACCAGCGAAUGCUGAACGCCGAAAGACUGCGAGCGACUGCUCUUUUACGAGAGUGGACCUCCGGUUUUGACAAAAGCGAAAAUGCC
rnacentral:misc_RNA from 1 species